CCUACGGGGGGCUGCAGUGGGGAAUAUUGGACAAUGGGGGGAACCCUGAUCCAGCCAUGCCGCGUGUGUGAAGAAGGCCCUCGGGUUGUAAAGCACUUUCAGUGAGGAAGAACGCCUGGUGGUUAAUACCCAUCAGGAAAGACAUCACUCACAGAAGAAGCACCGGCUAACUCCGUGCCAGCAGCCGCGGUAAUACGGAGGGUGCGAGCGUUAAUCGGAAUUACUGGGCGUAAAGCGCGCGUAGGUGGCUUGAUAAGCCGGUUGUGAAAGCCCCGGGCUCAACCUGGGAACGGCAUCCGGAACUGUCAAGCUAGAGGGCAGGAGAGGAAGGUAGAAUUCCCGGUGUAGCGGUGAAAUGCGUAGAGAUCGGGAGGAAUACCAGUGGCGAAGGCGGCCUUCUGGACUGACACUGACACUGAGGUGCGAAAGCGUGGGUAGCAAACAGGAUUAGAUACCCCGGUAGUC
rnacentral:rRNA from 1 species